AUUAAGAUGGCAGAAUAGUGUGAAGGAUUUAAGAUCCUUUUAUGGAAAUUUAUUUGUGGAUUUUCUCUUAAUA
rnacentral:tRNA from 2 species